UAGAGAAGAUGGAGUUCGGCUGAA
rnacentral:misc_RNA from 1 species